rnacentral:rRNA from 1 species
AAAUUGAAGAGUUUGAUCAUGGCUCAGAUUGAACGCUGGCGGCAGGCCUAACACAUGCAAGUCGAACGGUAACAGGAAGCAGCUUGCUGCUUCGCUGACGAGUGGCGGACGGGUGAGUAAUGUCUGGGAAACUGCCUGAUGGAGGGGGAUAACUACUGGAAACGGUGGCUAAUACCGCAUAACGUCGCAAGACCAAAGAGGGGGACCUUCGGGCCUCUUGCCAUCAGAUGUGCCCAGAUGGGAUUAGCUUGUUGGUGAGGUAACGGCUCACCAAGGCGACGAUCCCUAGCUGGUCUGAGAGGAUGACCAGCCACACUGGAACUGAGACACGGUCCAGACUCCUACGGGAGGCAGCAGUGGGGAAUAUUGCACAAUGGGCGCAAGCCUGAUGCAGCCAUGCCGCGUGUAUGAAGAAGGCCUUCGGGUUGUAAAGUACUUUCAGCGGGGAGGAAGGUGUUGCGGUUAAUAACCGCAGCAAUUGACGUUACCCGCAGAAGAAGCACCGGCUAACUCCGUGCCAGCAGCCGCGGUAAUACGGAGGGUGCAAGCGUUAAUCGGAAUUACUGGGCGUAAAGCGCACGCAGGCGGUCUGUCAAGUCGGAUGUGAAAUCCCCGGGCUCAACCUGGGAACUGCAUUCGAAACUGGCAGGCUUGAGUCUUGUAGAGGGGGGUAGAAUUCCAGGUGUAGCGGUGAAAUGCGUAGAGAUCUGGAGGAAUA